CCUACGGGAGGCUGCAGUGAGGAAUAUUGGUCAAUGGACGAGAGUCUGAACCAGCAAAGUAGCGUGAAGGAUGACUGCCCUAUGGGUUGUAAACUUCUUUUAUAACGGGAUAAAACGCGGCACGUGUGCCUUUUUGCAUGUACUUUAUGAUUAAGGAUCGGCUAACUCCGUGCCAGCAGCCGCGGUAAUGCGGAGGGUCCGGGCGUUAUCCGGAUUUAUUGGGUUUAAAGGGAGCGUAGAUGGGUUGUUAAGUCAGUUGGGAAAGUGUGCGGCUCAACCGUAAAAUUGCAAUUGAUACUGGCAGGCUUGAGUACAGUUGAGGUAAGCGGAAUUCGUGGUGUAGCGGUGAAAUGCUUAGAUAUCACGAAGAACCCCGAUUGCGAAGGCAGCUUACUAAGCUGUGACUGACAUUGAUGCUCGAAAGUGUGGGUAUCAAACAGGAUUAGAUACCCGUGUAGUC
rnacentral:rRNA from 1 species